AGAGUUUGAUCCUGGCUCAGGAUGAACGCUGGCGGCGUGCUUAACACAUGCAAGUCGAACGAAGACAUCUGAGUGCUUGCACUUGGAUGGACUGAGUGGCGGACGGGUGAGUAACGCGUGGGUAACCUGCCUUAUACAGGGGGAUAACAGUUGGAAACGACUGCUAAUACCGCAUAAGCGCACGGUAUCGCAUGAUACAGUGUGAAAAACUCCGGUGGUAUAAGAUGGACCCGCGUCUGAUUAGCUAGUUGGUGAGGUAACGGCCCACCAAGGCGACGAUCAGUAGCCGGCCUGAGAGGGUGUACGGCCACAUUGGGACUGAGACACGGCCCAAACUCCUACGGGAGGCAGCAGUGGGGAAUAUUGCACAAUGGGGGAAACCCUGAUGCAGCGACGCCGCGUGAGUGAUGAAGUAUUUCGGUAUGUAAAACUCUAUCAGCAGGGAAGAUAAUGACGGUACCUGACUAAGAAGCACCGGCUAAAUACGUGCCAGCAGCCGCGGU
rnacentral:rRNA from 1 species